AAGAGCAAGGAGGAUUUAAAUCCGAUGUUUCUUCCUCGUGCCUAGCUUGUAUUCCUUCUCAGUCGCCACUCAUCUGCUCGAUCACAUCAGCGACUUCUUGCUUGAUCCGGUUGAUAUCAGUGUGGUUCAGUGAGCAGGAAUUGUGUACGGUGGGGAGUUCAUGGUUUUGGUAGCAAACCAUACAACAAUUCCUUAUUCCAGCAGCAGUAGACACACCGGUGAUUUCCAGCCGUGGUUUACACUCUGAUCACGAGGCAUCAGUGAUUAUCAUCAGAUUUGGACUUUGAUUUGAGACUGUGUCUCGGCAAGGGAUCUAUUUCGGAUUGGACCUUUCUAUUGG